rnacentral:misc_RNA from 1 species
GAACGCACCUUGCGCCCUUUGGCUAUUCUGAAGGGCAUGCCUGUUUGAGUAUCAUGAACACCUCAACUCUCAUGGUCCGCCAUGACGAGCUUGGACUUUGGGGGUCUUGCCGGCCUAGCGUCGGCUCCUCUCAAAUGGAUCAGCUUCCCAGUGUUUGGCGGCGUCACAGGUGUGAUAACUAUCUACGCUUGUGGUUUUCUGCCAUUAACCUUCAGCAAUGGAGGUUCGCUGGAGCUCACAGAUGUCUCUCCUUGGGGAGGACAGCUUCUUGAACGUCUGAUCUCAAAUCAGGUAGGACUACCCGCUGAACUUA